AAAUACCUGAAAGGCGGUAUCCUCCUCCCACCGUCUUUUGGGGAUAGCGGCCAGCACCUCCUCCCGCUGGUCCGAUAUAGGAAAAGGCCGGCACCUCCUCCCGCCGGCCUUUUUC
rnacentral:sRNA from 1 species